UCAAGUUUAAGGGUGCAGGGCGGAUGCCUUGGCACUAGGAGCCGAUGAAGGACGUGAUAAGCUGCGAUAAGCUUCGGGGAGUUGCACGUAAACUUUGAUCCGAAGAUUUCCGAAUGAGGAAACUCACUUAGAGUAAUGUCUAAGUAUCAUUAAGUGAAUACAUAGCUUAAUGAGGGGAACUCAGGGAACUGAAACAUCUAAGUACCUGAAGGAAGAGAAAGAAAUUCGAUUCCGUAAGUAGCGGCGAGCGAACGCGGAUUAGCCCAAACCAAUAAAGUUUUCUUUAUUGGGGUUGCGGACAUAUCAUAACGAAGAGGUAUCGUAAUUGAAGAGGUUUGGAAAGACCCACCACAGAAGGUAAUAGUCCUGUAUGUUAAACGAGAAGACUUUAGAUAUGAUCCAGAGUACCACGGGACACGUGAAACCCUGUGGGAAGCAGGAGGGACCACCCUCCAAGGCUAAAUACUACCUAGUGACCGAUAGCGUAUAGUACCGUGAGGGAAAGGUGAAAAGAACCCCGGGAGGGGAGUGAAAUAGAACCUGAAACCCUGCACUUACAAGCUGUGGAAGCACAUUUCUUGUGUGACCGCGUACUUUUUGUAGAACGGGCCAACGAGUUACGUUAAGUAGCAAGGUUAAGCACUUAAGGUGUGGAGCCGUAGCGAAAGCGAGUUUUAACUGAGCGUUCAGUUACUUGACGUAGACCCGAAACCGGGCGACCUACCCAUGAGCAGGAUGAAGCGAAAGUAAAAUUUCGUGGAGGUCCGAACCCACGAGCGUUGAAAAGCUCGGGGAUGACUUGUGGGUAGCGGUGAAAUUCCAAUCGAGCCCGGAGAUAGCUGGUUCUCCCCGAAAUAGCUUUAGGGCUAGCCUCAAGGUGAGAGAUACGGAGGUAGAGCACUGAAUGUCCUAGGGGGUAUUGCACCUACCGAAGACUAUCAAACUCCGAAUGCCGUCAUCUUAUACUUGGGAGUCAGACUGUGGGUGAUAAGAUUCAUAGUCGAAAGGGCAACAGCCCAGAUCGUCAGCUAAGGUCCCUAAAUGUAAGUUAAGUGGUAAAGGAUGUGGGAUUGCACAGACAACCAGGAUGUUGGCUUAGAAGCAGCCACUCAUUCAAAGAGUGCGUAAUAGCUCACUGGUCGAGUGAUCCUGCGCCGAAGAUUUCCGGGGCUAAAACUUACUACCGAAGCUACGGCAUCAGUAAUGAUGGGUAGGGGAGCUUCCCAUACGGGUUGAAGCAUGACCGUAAGGACAUGUGGACAGUAUGGGAGUGAGAAUGUUGGCAUGAGUAGCGAGAUGUGGGUGAGAAUCCCACAGGCCGUAAACCCAAGGUUUCCAGGGGAAGGUUCGUCCGCCCUGGGUUAGUCGGGACCUAAGCUGAGGCCGAAAGGCGUAGGUGAUGGACAACAGGUUGAUAUUCCUGUACUACCGAUAACCGUUUGAGAGAAGGGAUGACACAGUAGGAUAAGCUAAGCACACUGUUGGUUAUGUGUGCCCAAGCAUUGAGGCAGUCAAAGUAGGCAAAUCCGCUUUGAUAAUGCUGGGAUGUGAUGGGGAGCGAAAUUUAGUAGCGAAGUAGCUGAUUUCACACUGUCAAGAAAAGUCUCUAUCGAGGUUAAAGGUACCCGUACCGCAAACCGACACAGGUGGGUGAGGAGAGUAUCCUAAGGCCAGCGAGAGAACUGUUGUUAAGGAACUCGGCAAAAUGACCCCGUAACUUAGGGAUAAGGGGUGCCACCAUCAGGUGGCCGCAGAGAAUAGGCCCAAGCGACUGUUUACCAAAAACAUAGGUUUCUGCUAAGUCGCAAGACGAUGUAUAGGAGCUGACGCCUGCCCGGUGCUGGAAGGUUAAGGGGAUCUGUUAGAGCAAUCGAAGCAGUGAACUUAAGCCCCAGUAAACGGCGGCCGUAACUAUAACGGUCCUAAGGUAGCGAAAUUCCUUGUCGGGUAAGUUCCGACCCGCACGAAAGGCGUAACGAUUUGGGCACUGUCUCAACAACAGACUCGGUGAAAUUGUAAUUCCGGUGAAGAUGCCGGAUACCUGCGACAGGACGGAAAGACCCCAUGGAGCUUUACUGUAGCUUGACAUUGGGUCUUGGUACUACAUGUACAGGAUAGGUGGGAGGCUUUGAAACCAGGACGCCAGUUUUGGCGGAGCCAUCCUUGGGAUACCACCCUUGUAGUACUGGGACUCUAACCAUAGGCCAUGAAUCUGGUCUUGGGACACUGUCAGGUGGGCAGUUUGACUGGGGCGGUCGCCUCCCAAAAGGUAACGGAGGCGCUCAAAGGUUCUCUCAGUACGGUCGGAAAUCGUACGUAGAGUGUAAAGGCAAAAGAGAGCUUGAUUGCAAGACAUACAGGUCGAGCAAGGAUGAAAAUCGGACUUAGUGAUCCGGUGGUUCUGCGUGGAAGGGCCAUCGCUCAACGGAUAAAAGCUACCCUGGGGAUAACAGGCUUAUCUCCCCCAAGAGUCCACAUCGACGGGGAGGUUUGGCACCUCGAUGUCGGCUCAUCACAUCCUGGGGCUGUAGUAGGUCCCAAGGGUUGGGCUGUUCGCCCAUUAAAGUGGUACGCGAGCUGGGUUCAGAACGUCGUGAGACAGUUCGGUCCCUAUCCGUCGCAGGCGUAGGAAAUUUGAGAAGACCUGUCCUUAGUACGAGAGGACCGGGAUGGACGUACCUCUGGUGUACCAGUUGUCCUGCCAAGGGCAUGGCUGGGUAGCUAUGUACGGAAUGGAUAAGCGCUGAAAGCAUCUAAGCGCGAAGCCAACUUCAAGAUAAGAUUUCCCACCGCAAGGGUAAGACCCCAGAAAGACUAUCUGGUUGAUAGGUCGAAGGUGUAAGUGCAGCAAUGUAUUUAGCUUAUCGAUACUAAUAGGUCGAGGACUUGACCAA
rnacentral:rRNA from 1 species